rnacentral:rRNA from 1 species
CUCGUAGGUGACCUGCGGAGGAUCAUUACCGAGUUGAUUCGGGCUCCGGCCCGAUCCUCCCACCCUUUGUGUACCUACCUCUGUUGCUUUGGCGGGCCGCGGUCCUCCGCGGCCGCCCCCCUCCCCGGGGGGGUGGCCAGCGCCCGCCAGAGGACCAUCAAACUCCAGUCAGUAAACGAUGCAGUCUGAAAAACAUUUAAUAAACUAAAACUUUCAACAACGGAUCUCUUGGUUCUGGCAUCGAUGAAGAACGCAGCGAAAUGCGAUAAGUAAUGUGAAUUGCAGAAUUCAGUGAAUCAUCGAAUCUUUGAACGCACAUUGCGCCCUUUGGUAUUCCGAAGGGCAUGCCUGUUCGAGCGUCAUUACAACCCUCAAGCUCUGCUUGGUAUUGGGCACCGUCCUUUGCGGGCGCGCCUCAAAGACCUCGGCGGUGGCGUCUUGCCUCAAGCGUAGUAGAACAUACAUCUCGCUUCGGAGCGCAGGGCGUCGCCCGCCGGACGAACCUUCUGAACUUUUCUCAAGGUUGACCUCGGAUCAGGUAGGGAUACCCGCUGAACUUAA